GGAGGCUGGGUCAUCCACAAUGACCAGCAUGUCACUGCUGCUCUCGUCCAAAGGAAUGGAGCCAGUGUGCAGCUCACUGCUGAUGGAGAUCUAGAAAAGGAAGGGUUAAGAUCAUUACUACUCCCUGUGCUCACUGCCCAGGGCCUUGCACCCAGCUAGGAACAUGCUUCACAGCUGAGGCUGCUUUGGCUUCUGAGAAACCAACCUGUCCUCAUUUGUUUUUCUCCUUACAGAACUCAUGUGCAACCUACUUCAACAAGGCUGGAGAACUCCAGGAGAAGCAAAGACUGCCCAGCAGUGUGUCCCUGCUACACGGUCAGGACACUCCUUACUGCUGUGAUGCAGGCAUCUAAAAGGAGCCUCACCUCACUGAAAGGGCUUGGCAUGGCUGAGUCCACGCUAAUGAAGGAGUCAUCUCCGUCAGCAGAGAGGUUGGAGUUAUCAGCCGAGGGAACAAAUGGGAUCACCAGGUUCACACCCUCUUUUCUCCUUUUCCCAUCCAAUUCAUCUUCCUUUUUCUUCUGGGAACCACAGAUAAAUAUGGAAAACGUGUGAGGAUGCACCCCAAAAGAAAAGCAGGAUUUGGGAUGAAAAGGUGACAGAUGACACUGAGUGGUACACAAGCAGAAUUCUGGUACGUUAUGGAUCUCAUGACCUCUUAGGCCCUUUCUAAGAUUCUACGGAGCCUAAUAAUAUAAGUAAGUAAUGCUGAUCUUAGUCACCUUUUAGCCUUACACGCUUUCUAAUAGCCCUGACAAAUGGUUUCCAUAAUUAAACUGUGACCACUGUAAGUGUGAGUUUGUGUGGGGACUACAGAUCUACCAAGGCCACAUUUCUCCUGAGUAAAACAUGAGUCAGCCCAGAAAUGUGGCUGAUCAUACACAGCUGAAGCUGGAUACCAACCAGUAACCAAGAUGAGAAGCUAUGUACCCCAAAGCCUUUUUGGUAAGCACCCUAGGCCCCAUUAGCCCCUAUCCACCAUUCCAGGCUGGAGAUACCUUCUCUGCAUACUUUUCCCGCUUCCGCUUGCGCUCUUUCACUCGGUUGGUUUCCUCCUGUUGCCGUUUCUCUUCCUGCCGCAGCCUCACUAUCAAGAAGAUAAAUGAAGACCUGAUGAAGUA